GUAAGCAUCUGGAGUGUCUACUUCCUCUCUUAAACUGUGAGCUCCACCAGGGCCACCACUGUGUCUUAAUCACCUAUUCCUCCCACUAAGUGGGUACCAGAUACUCAGCAGGUACUCAAUAAACGUCCGAUGAGUACCAAAUGAAGAGAUGUGAACAAGGACCAAUGGUGAUGAAGAUGCGGGUAUAACGUAAGGAAGAACCGUUGAAAAACUCCUCUGUCUUGGAGCGCAGUCCGCUGCCUCUAAAGCACGCCAUCCUGCCCCUGGCCGGGGGGCCCUGCCGAUGUCAGAGGCUGGAGAGGACACCUCACUCACAGAGCCCAUUAGACCAGACAUGCUUUUGCCCCUUCUAGCUUUGGGACUUCUGGCUUGACAAUUUAGGAGAAGACAAAUACUGAGCAAAGAUAACCAACGUAAGAGGAUAUCUUUGAGAUUUUUGCUACCCACAAAUGAUAUAAAUCCCCCACUCUCCAAAUUUAAACUUUGCUUUGCUGCUCAAGAUAGAAACAAUCUGUGAAUAAGAUUUUGUGACAAAAUGAGCUUUCUACUUCCUAAGCAUAUUUGAGCCCUGACCCCCAAUCCAUGAGCUGCUCAUCAUUGUCUGCCUUCUCAUUACUCCGUGGAGGAGUCAGAAUUAGUUGUGGGGAAGUAACCCUUUCUGGCCCAUUUUCAAUUAUCAUAAGAUUUAGCAGGCUUGCGGGGGGACCUUGCUCAUCUUUGCUACCCUGCGACCUCCUCAAUUCGUCUCUUUUAUCUCUGUCUGGAUGGCCCACAUCCCAGCAUGCCACACUGCACUGGCUAAAUAAACCCGUAAAUCUAGCUUUUGUGUCCUGCUAAUCCUUUUAUUUCCUAAAUCUUAUUUAAUCCGAAAGGCUUCCUUUCAUCUCUUUAACUGUCCACAGCGUCACCCUCUCAUCCUGUCAGCAGUGCUUGCAAACCCCGGGUAGAGCUGAAGGCUCCCGGGAGCAGACCCCAGGCCGAGCCCGCAGCACCUGCCGGGGGCCUGCGGGAGGCUCGGGCGGCGCCUGCGCGGGGAGGCCCGGGUGUGGCUCUGCGCCGCCGGACCGCGCCCUCCCCUCCUCGGAGACAGGGAGGCUGCGAUCUGACCUCGGAAGCCUGCCGCCACAGGCCAACGACAGAGCUAAACUGGGCUCAGAGAAAAACGGAAGGGCAGAUUCACACUAAAUGAGUUUUACUUUUGUCUGUCUUAGAGGAAGAUAAGUUUUGGGUCUGAGGAAAAAGAAUCGUAAUUAACACAACGACAUGAGUUAAAGGGAGCUGACAGGUGAGUCCACAUGGAUCCAAAGUGAACGUGUCCAUUUCCACGCCUUGCACGUGCUUGUUUGGAGAAGGGAUGUCCUAGGAUCGUUCACACACCAGUUGUUGCAUUUAUAAUUUUCAGCACCACAGUCUUUGUGCUGGACUUUGUGUUACGGUUCUACUCCCUGUGCCCGGCCCCGGUGCGCCAGGCUCUGCUCUCCGCACUCUCUCCUGUUAGAGAUUACACUCACGGGCCUGUUCAUGUGUUGCCCAGAUCUACUAAUUCUGUUUUCAUGAGAGUAGCUGAAAACCUCUGAAUUCGGAGUUGGGAGUGUUGGGUGUCUCCCCCAGCCGUGACUCGGGCUCCCACCACCUGUCUGCUUUAGCUCAGCCAUGGCACCCCCAGGCCUUCAGCCUUCUCCACUGUGAACUAGGAAGAUUACAGCGACAUUGCAGGAUUGAGCAAGGACUAGAUCAGAUGAAAAAUGUAAAGCAGCGGAAGAGAGCGACACACAGGAGCUGAAGCAACUGUCAGCUUCCACGGUCUACGAAGUUUCCUCGAGGAUCGUGAGAGACGCAUGCGUGUGUGAGGGAGGCCUGCUCCCUCAGCCAAGAGGAGGAGAAGUGAUGUUUGCCCUGUUUGCUCAACUCAGUUGUAGACGUAUGUGAACUAUCAGGAUGUUGGUGAGGUGCCCCCGGCCCCCUGCCUUGCCAAGAACCUGGAAAUAAUCAUACCAGUACAUAAGAAUAUCUCCAAGGCCAACGUAAUUAGCAGCUGGAUUUUAGUUUAAUUAAACAGUAUAUGAAACAAUCUAAAGAAAGACUCUCUUACCACACGAGCCAGUGGGGUGGAGAAAAUGGGAAAGAUAGAGAAGCAGGUUGGCACAAGUGGCCUGGCUCUCCAGGAAGAGAGAUGCAGCCUCUGGAGGACACAAGCUCCGACCGGCAGCAGCCAGGCUUCAUCCAGCUCCUCUGUGGCUUGGUUGCAAUAUGCUUCGAGACAAUCAACUUCUCCUUUCUUUAACCCCACCAUCACCAAGCAACCUUCUGACCACCCAUUCUCUCUCCCAGGCACCUUGGAAGGUGCACCCUGGAUGACAGCCCAAUCCGUAGAGAGUUCUUCCUCACAGUAAAUUCAUGCUUUGCUGGUUUUAGCCGCAUGCUAGUUUUCUCAGGGUGGGUCAGUGUGAGUCCACUGUGAGAGCCUGAUCUUGGUCCGGGGGUGCUGGGAGCUGCUGGUUUCUUUACCUGCCAGACUGAGGACCAGAACCCAGGUGGUUGCAGUUCCCCAUGGUGAUGCCACAGAGACCUUCGGGCGACGCCAUCCUGUCUGAGGGUGCCUCUUAGACUUUACAAAGUACUCGGGAGAUCGCGACCUGGUUUAGUUUCUUUGUAUUUCCCAUAAAGUGUGCAGCACUGUGCCCUUCAUAAACCAGGAGCUCAAAAAUUUGUGAUAUAGAGUUGUAGGGGAGUUGCUGCUUUUUCAUGCAUUCAGAGAACCUUCCAGAUGGACUUGCAGCUCUGAAGAGUGGACGUGAGCUGGGCAAAUCCUUGAGAAAUAACUUUCUCAGGGUGUGUCUAGGUCCACCUGUGCUCCAAACGGGGCUGUAGUUGUCACCAAUGUGACACCCACAGGCCUUCCUUAGGUGUCUUUCCUCCUUUUUUAUGUUCCUAAAACAUCCUGAUGUGACUUCUUUUGUAGGACUUAUUUUGUUCCUGUUGCUUCACAAGUAGUUUUUUAAAAUAUAUGCCUCUAGCUCCCUUAGAUUAUCAGCUUCUUGAUAAGCUCCAUGUUACAUUCUAUCUUAGAAAUUCCUAUACAAAAGUACAGGCAUGCAGCAAGAGCUCAAUACAUGUUUGGUCUGUCUGGAAUUAUGUGACCUGUAGUCAAAAAAGGCGACAAAGGAUUCAGGCAUGACUACCUAAAACAUAAGGUGUGAUAUCAUUUACAUGCAAUAUCCUUAUAAAGUUCACAAAAUGUCCCGGCAGCUGAGAUGCUUUGUGACACAGGUGAAGACAUUUUACAUUAAUUUUUAAAUUCAACAUGGUGGUGAGGAAAUGGAGCAGCGCAAGGGCACAGUAACAACGUGUCUGAAUCAGAGAAGGAAAAGCGGAAACCGAUGUACACCGUCCGUAGUUUUAAAAUUUUAUAUGUUCCAAG
ensembl:lncRNA